GACGUAGGGCGCGAGCGUUGUCCGGAUUUAUUGGGCGUAAAGAGCUCGUAGGCGGCUUGUUGCGUCGGCUGUGAAAACCCGCGGCUUAACCGUGGGCUUGCAGCCGAUACGGGCAGACUAGAGUUCGGUAGGGGAGUCUGGAAUUCCCGGUGUAGUGGUGAUAUGCGUAGAUAUCGGGAGGAACACCUGUGGCGAAGGCGGCUUUCUGGGCCUUACCUGACGCUGAGACGCGAAAGCGUGGGGAGCGAACCGG
rnacentral:rRNA from 1 species